AGUGAACGCUGGCGGUAGGCCUAACACAUGCAAGUCGAACGGCAGCACAGGAGAGCUUGCUCUCUGGGUGGCGAGUGGCGGACGGGUGAGGAAUACAUCGGAAUCUACUCUGUCGUGGGGGAUAACGUAGGGAAACUUACGCUAAUACCGCAUACGACCUACGGGUGAAAGCAGGGGACCUUCGGGCCUUGCGCGAUUGAAUGAGCCGAUGUCGGAUUAGCUAGUUGGCGGGGUAAAGGCCCACCAAGGCGACGAUCCGUAGCUGGUCUGCGAGGAUGAUCAGCCACACUGGAACUGGGACACGGUCCAGAAUCCUACGGGAGGCAGCAGUGGGGAAUAUUGGACAAUGGGCGCAAGCCUGAUCCAGCCAUACCGAGUGGGUGAAGAAGGCCUUCGGGUUGUAAAGUCCCUUUGUUGGGAAAGAAAUCCAGCUGGCUAAUACCCGGUUGGGAUGACGGUACCCAAAGAAUAAGCACCGGCUAACUUCGUGCCAGCCGCCGCCGUAA
rnacentral:rRNA from 1 species